rnacentral:rRNA from 1 species
CCUACGGGUGACAGCAGUAGGGAAUAUUGCACAAUGGGGGAAACCCUGAUGCAGCGACGCCGCGUGAGUGACGAAGGAAUUCGUUAUGUAAAGCUCUAUCAGCAGGGAAGAAAAUGACGGUACCUGAGUGAGAAGCCCCGGCUAACUACGUGCCAGCAGCCGCGGUAAGACGUAGGGGGCAAGCGUUAUCCGGAUUUACUGGGUGUAAAGGGAGCGUAGACGGCAGUGCAAGACUGGAGUGAAAGGCGGGGGCUCAACCCCCGGACUGCUCUGGAAACUGGACGGCUGGAGUGCAGGAGAGGUAAGUGGAAUUCCGAGUGUAGCGGUGAAAUGCGUAGAUAUCAGGAGGAAAACCAGUGGCGAAGGCGGCUUACUGGACUUUAACUGACGUUGAGGCUCGAAAGCGUGGGGAGCAAACAGGAUUAGAUACCCUUGUAGUC